CGGUCUUCACCGGAUGUUGCCAAGAAACAUUGAAGCGCCUGUGAAGUACAGAAUCGAGCCCAGCAAAAUGUGUUCAUACCACUCUGUUUGCAAGGUGUUGGUGCAAACGUCCGUGUGAAAAUAGUUGUCUGCAAUCUACUUAUAUUCUCCGUUGAUAUCGAGAGAAGCCCCGGUCUAGGUUUUCUUGCUGUGCCUUACCAAAUUGUGGACCAUGAUGGAGCGAAGAAGAGCCUUAACUAUUCCAUUUAAUGUUGACAAGAAUAACUUGAUGGAUAACCCACUCAAAAUCUCCGUUCCAUGUCUUUCAUCAAAGUAUGGGAAAUUAGAAAGACAGGUACAGCAAUAUUUUUGCUCUCUGUCCAUGGCUAUUUUGGAUUAUUCUUGAGGCUCACACCGUUUCCUUGGCUUACCAGGUUUCCUGGACUACAUUUGCAGAUUGCAAACGCAGACAUCGUGAUUCACAGCAUAAAAAUGGUUCCAUGCUGUUUGAUCACAAGCAUGCAACAUUGGAAAUGGCCAGUGGCCCCCUGUCAACACCCAGAGGCAGCUUCUUCUUCUCCCAGAAAACUUCUGCUCUAACUCUGUUCUUUUAAAUCAGGGCUUAAAACUUUUCUGUUUGUCACUACAUUUUAUUGUUUUAUUUAUUUAUACAUUUGUUUUAAUCAUAUGUUGUAUUGCAACUUUUAUUCCAAUGUUUGAUAUGCCUACUUUUGUUUAGCUUAUUAUUAUUUUAUUAUUAUUAUUGGCAAGUUAACAGUGAAGAUGCAGUCUGGAAAUGUGAGGGAACGAGAGGGGUAUGACAGACAUGCAAAGGUCCAUUGCGGUAAUGUGGUAUUUUAACCAUUUGGCUACAGAGUCUUUUCCUUCUGUCUUUCUGUCUUAUGUAAAGCACUUUGAAUUGCCUUGGCUUGUUGUUGAUGAAAGGUGCUAUACAAAUGCCCUUUCCUGUGUAGUAGGCCUGGGCGAAAAAUCGAUUGAAUGAAUUAAUUCGAGUUUUUUGUCGCGGGCGAUUUAAAAAAUAAGUA
rnacentral:lncRNA from 1 species